rnacentral:sRNA from 1 species
GAAUUCGUCGACCAGGACGGCGGAAUGCUCGACCAGGACGAUGAAUGGGCGAUGAAAAUCUAUCGGGUUAGAGGAAUGGUCGACCGGGUCCGAGAAUUCGUCGACCAGGACGAGGAGUGGUCGAGGAUUUGUCGACCAGGAGUUGAAAUCGUCGACCGGGUCCGAGAAUUCGUCGACCAGGACGGCGGAACCCUCGACCAGGACGAUGAAUGGGCGAUGAAAAUCUAUCGGGUUCGAGGAAUGGUCGACCAGAAGUUGGAAUCGUCGACCGGGUCCGAGAAUUCGUCGACCAGGCCGAGGAGUGGUCGAGGAUUUGUCGACCAGGAGUUGAAAUCGUCGACCGGGACCGAGAAUUCGUCGACCAGGACGGCGGAACCCUCGACCAGGACGAUGAAUGGGCGAUGAAAAUCUAUCGGGUUCGAGGAAUGGUCGACCAGGGGUUGAAAUCGUCGACCAGGUCCGAGACUUCAUCGACCGGGUCCGAGGAUUCGUCGACCAGGACGGCCGGAUGUCCGAGAAAAAAAAAUGUUGCCGAAUAACUUUCGAAAAUCAUUGGAUAUGAUGCAAUGUUUUGUGAUCGAAUCUCUUAAAAUACAUCAAUAAAGAGUUUAGGAUGUCAAGUUUGCAUCAAAUAUGCCCACGGAGCCCCAACUAGACCAUGAAAAUCCGUUGUUGUAUCAGGUCAAAUGACCUAGCUAGAGGUGUCAGAAAAUUAUGUAAAUUUACCAGAAAAUAGGAUUUAGUAUCCUUAUGAUGCAUGCUA